CUUGAGAGCGGCGGACGGGUGAGUAAUGCCUAGGAAUCUGCCUGGUAGUGGGGGAUAACGUCCGGAAACGGACGCUAAUACCGCAUACGUCCUACGGGAGAAAGCAGGGGACCUUCGGGCCUUGCGCUAUCAGAUGAGCCUAGGUCGGAUUAGCUAGUUGGUGGGGUAAUGGCUCACCAAGGCGACGAUCCGUAACUGGUCUGAGAGGAUGAUCAGUCACACUGGAACUGAGACACGGUCCAGACUCCUACGGGAGGCAGCAGUGGGGAAUAUUGGACAAUGGGCGAAAGCCUGAUCCAGCCAUGCCGCGUGUGUGAAGAAGGUCUUCGGAUUGUAAAGCACUUUAAGUUGGGAGGAAGGGCAGUUGCCUAAUACGUAACUGUUUUGACGUUACCGACAGAAUAAGCACCGGCUAACUCUGUGCCAGCAGCCGCGGUAAUACAGAGGGUGCAAGCGUUAAUCGGAAUUACUGGGCGUAAAGCGCGCGUAGGUGGUUUGUUAAGUUGGAUGUGAAAUCCCCGGGCUCAACCUGGGAACUGCAUUCAAAACUGACUGACUAGAGUAUGGUAGAGGGUGGUG
rnacentral:rRNA from 1 species